GUAGGGUCCAUCUGGCCCUUCCUCCUGGCUCCUGCGGAGUCCGAGUGGCUCUUUCCCUCCUUCCCUCCUCUCCCCUCCUCCUUCUCUCCCUCUCCAUUUUCCCUGCAAGGUCUGCAGCCCAACUCCAGCUCUCCCAUUACUACAGGGGCUGGUGGGUCCUUCUGAGCAAGAAGAUGGGGCUCUUUGUCUACAGUGUCUGUCUAUAGUCAUUCACCCACUCAUUCAUUUAAUCAUUCACUCAUUCAUUCAUUCAUUUAGCCACUCAUUUGUCAAAUAUUGAUUUUUCUCAGGUGUUUUGCCCUCACAGGUCCUGCCGCCUAAAACACUGACUUCUUAUCUCUCAAGGCUUUGCUUUCAACACUGUCUCUUCCAAGACCUCUCCCUGACCACUCCCAACUUACUAAACCCCUAUCACCCUGUUAGCUUUUGAAUGCUCUUCAUGGUAAAACAGGACAGGUUGAUGCUCUCCGGGGCUCUCUCUACACACAAGAGAGAGAUUAGCCUGACGGGCAUUCGUUUACCCUUCUCAUUUUCUUUGGGAACCAGCCUCCCCUGCUCUUAGUCUAUGUGAUUCGGACACAGCCAACUACAUUUCCCAGAUCCAGAAAUGAACACGCCAUUCCAAGUAAAGCCAAUGAGAGACAGCUGCAGGACUUUUGCUGGAACUAUUGGGAAAGUGGUGUUUCUUUUUCUGCUAUGGUUACUUAUCUGCUAUGCUCUAAGCCUGGAACUGCUGGAGGUCAUCUUUGCUGCAUGAAAAUGAAGUCAAUAUUGAGGACAGCAGAGAUGUGGACCCUGAGACCAGGGAGGUUGCGUGGCAUCAUUACAUCAGAAGGGGAGUGGUCUGAAUCCACUCCUCCCCUUCCAGGGCAGGAAGUCAACAGAGAAGGGCUCUGUGGUAACGUUGACAAUCACAAAUCAGUGGCAUAAACAUCUCCUUAAGACAUGCAGAGGCAGCUGGGCGUGGUGGCCCACGCCUGUAAUCCCACCAUGUGGGAGGCCAACGUGGGAGGAUCACUUGAGGUUAGGAGUUUGAGACCAGCCUGGG
rnacentral:lncRNA from 10 species